CAGCUCACGGUGUGCUAUACAUGCAGUCGAGCGACAGACGAGGAGCUUGCUCCUCUGACGUUAGCGGCGGACGGGUGAGUAACACGUGGAUAACCUACCUAUAAGACUGGGAUAACUUCGGGAAACCGGAGCUAAUACCGGAUAAUAUAUUGAACCGCAUGGUUCAAUAGUGAAAGACGGUUUUGCUGUCACUUAUAGAUGGAUCCGCGCCGCAUUAGCUAGUUGGUAAGGUAACGGCUUACCAAGGCAACGAUGCGUAGCCGACCUGAGAGGGUGAUCGGCCACACUGGAACUGAGACACGGUCCAGACUCCUACGGGAGGCAGCAGUAGGGAAUCUUCCGCAAUGGGCGAAAGCCUGACGGAGCAACGCCGCGUGAGUGAUGAAGGUCUUCGGAUCGUAAAACUCUGUUAUUAGGGAAGAACAAAUGUGUAAGUAACUAUGCACGUCUUGACGGUACCUAAUCAGAAAGCCACGGCUAACUACGUGCCAGCAGCCGCGGUAAUACGUAGGUGGCAAGCGUUAUCCGGAAUUAUUGGGCGUAAAGCGCGCGUAGGCGGUUUUUUAAGUCUGAUGUGAAAGCCCACGGCUCAACCGUGGAGGGUCAUUGGAAACUGGAAAACUUGAGUGCAGAAGAGGAAAGUGGAAUUCCAUGUGUAGCGGUGAAAUGCGCAGAGAUAUGGAGGAACACCAGUGGCGAAGGCGACUUUCUGGUCUGUAACUGACGCUGAUGUGCGAAAGCGUGGGGAUCAAACAGGAUUAGAUACCCUGGUAGUCCACGCCGUAAACGAUGAGUGCUAAGUGUUAGGGGUUUCCGCCCCUUAGUGCUGCAGCUAACGCAUUAAGCACUCCGGCCUGGGGAGUACGACCGCAAGUUUGAAACUUCAAAGGAAUUGACCGGGGACCCGCACAAGCGGUGGAGCAUGUGGUUUAAUUCCGAAGCAACGCGAAGAACCUUUACCCAAAUCCUUGGACAUUCCUCUGAACCCUCUAGAGAUCAGAGUUCCCCUUCCGGGAACAAGAUGGAAGUGUGCCAUGGUUUCCGUCCAGCUUAGGGUCUGAGAAUGUCGGCUACAGGUCCCGACCAGAGCGCCACCUUAACGCGUAGUGCCCAUCUAAGGUUGGGGCUCUAAAUGACUCGCGGUGCACCACGUAGAAGGAAAAGUGGGAUUACG
rnacentral:rRNA from 1 species